rnacentral:rRNA from 17 species
UUAAGUUAGAAAGGGCGCACGGUGGAUGCCUUGGCACUAGGAGCCGAUGAAGGACGGGACGAACACCGAUAUGCUUCGGGGAGCUGUAAGCAAGCUUUGAUCCGGAGAUUUCCGAAUGGGGAAACCCACCACUCGUAAUGGAGUGGUAUCCAUAUCUGAAUACAUAGGAUAUGAGAAGGCAGACCCGGGGAACUGAAACAUCUAAGUACCCGGAGGAAGAGAAAGCAAAUGCGAUUCCCUGAGUAGCGGCGAGCGAAACGGGACCAGCCCAAACCAAGAGGCUUGCCUCUUGGGGUUGUAGGACACUCUGUACGGAGUUACAAAGGAACGAGGUAGAUGAAGAGGUCUGGAAAGGCCCGCCAUAGGAGGUAACAGCCCUGUAGUCAAAACUUCGUUCUCUCCUGAGUGGAUCCUGAGUACGGCGGAACACGUGAAAUUCCGUCGGAAUCCGGGAGGACCAUCUCCCAAGGCUAAAUACUCCCUAGUGACCGAUAGUGAACCAGUACCGUGAGGGAAAGGUGAAAAGCACCCCGGAAGGGGAGUGAAAGAGAUCCUGAAACCGUGUGCCUACAAGUAGUCAGAGCCCGUUAACGGGUGAUGGCGUGCCUUUUGUAGAAUGAACCGGCGAGUUACGAUCCCGUGCAAGGUUAAGCAGAAGAUGCGGAGCCGCAGCGAAAGCGAGUCUGAAUAGGGCGAAUUGAGUACGUGGUCGUAGACCCGAAACCAGGUGAUCUACCCAUGUCCAGGGUGAAGUUCAGGUAACACUGAAUGGAGGCCCGAACCCACGCACGUUGAAAAGUGCGGGGAUGAGGUGUGGGUAGGGGUGAAAUGCCAAUCGAACCUGGAGAUAGCUGGUUCUCUCCGAAAUAGCUUUAGGGCUAGCCUCAAGGUAAGAGUCUCGGAGGUAGAGCACUGAUUGGACUAGGGGCCCCUACCGGGUUACCGAAUUCAGUCAAACUCCGAAUGCCGAUGACUUAUCCUUGGGAGUCAGACUGCGAGUGAUAAGAUCCGUAGUCGAAAGGGAAACAGCCCAGACCGCCAGCUAAGGUCCCAAAGUAUACGUUAAGUGGAAAAGGAUGUGGAGUUGCUUAGACAACCAGGAUGUUGGCUUAGAAGCAGCCACCAUUUAAAGAGUGCGUAAUAGCUCACUGGUCGAGUGACUCUGCGCCGAAAAUGUACCGGGGCUAAACGUAUCACCGAAGCUGCGGACUGUUCUUCGAACAGUGGUAGGAGAGCGUUCUAAGGGCUGUGAAGCAAGACCGGAAGGACUUGUGGAGCGCUUAGAAGUGAGAAUGCCGGUAUGAGUAGCGAAAGAGGGGUGAGAAUCCCCUCCACCGAAUGCCUAAGGUUUCCUGAGGAAGGCUCGUCCGCUCAGGGUUAGUCGGGACCUAAGCCGAGGCCGAAAGGCGUAGGCGAUGGAUAACAGGUUGAUAUUCCUGUACCACCUCCUCACCAUUUGAGCAAUGGGGGGACGCAGGAGGAUAGGGUAAGCGCGGUAUUGGAUAUCCGCGUCCAAGCAGUUAGGCUGGGAAAUAGGCAAAUCCGUUUCCCGUGAAGGCUGAGCUGUGAUGGCGAGCGAAUUAUAGUAGCGAAGUUCCUGAUUCCACACUGCCAAGAAAAGCCUCUAGCGAGGUGAGAGGUGCCCGUACCGCAAACCGACACAGGUAGGCGAGGAGAGAAUCCUAAGGUGAUCGAGAGAACUCUCGUUAAGGAACUCGGCAAAAUGACCCCGUAACUUCGGGAGAAGGGGUGCUCUGUUAGGGUGCAAGCCCGAGAGAGCCGCAGUGAAUAGGCCCAGGCGACUGUUUAGCAAAAACACAGGUCUCUGCGAAGCCGUAAGGCGAAGUAUAGGGGCUGACGCCUGCCCGGUGCUGGAAGGUUAAGAGGAGCGCUUAGCGUAAGCGAAGGUGCGAAUUGAAGCCCCAGUAAACGGCGGCCGUAACUAUAACGGUCCUAAGGUAGCGAAAUUCCUUGUCGGGUAAGUUCCGACCCGCACGAAAGGCGCAACGAUCUGGGCACUGUCUCAACGAGAGACUCGGUGAAAUUAUAGUACCUGUGAAGAUGCAGGUUACCCGCGACAGGACGGAAAGACCCCGUGGAGCUUUACUGCAGCCUGAUAUUGAAUGUUGGUACAGCUUGUACAGGAUAGGUAGGAGCCUUGGAAACCGGAGCGCCAGCUUCGGUGGAGGCAUCGGUGGGAUACUACCCUGGCUGUAUUGACCUUCUAACCCGCCGCCCUUAUCGGGCGGGGAGACAGUGUCAGGUGGGCAGUUUGACUGGGGCGGUCGCCUCCUAAAAGGUAACGGAGGCGCCCAAAGGUUCCCUCAGAAUGGUUGGAAAUCAUUCGCAGAGUGUAAAGGCACAAGGGAGCUUGACUGCGAGACCUACAAGUCGAGCAGGGACGAAAGUCGGGCUUAGUGAUCCGGUGGUUCCGCAUGGAAGGGCCAUCGCUCAACGGAUAAAAGCUACCCCGGGGAUAACAGGCUUAUCUCCCCCAAGAGUCCACAUCGACGGGGAGGUUUGGCACCUCGAUGUCGGCUCAUCGCAUCCUGGGGCUGUAGUCGGUCCCAAGGGUUGGGCUGUUCGCCCAUUAAAGCGGUACGCGAGCUGGGUUCAGAACGUCGUGAGACAGUUCGGUCCCUAUCCGUCGCGGGCGCAGGAAAUUUGAGAGGAGCUGUCCUUAGUACGAGAGGACCGGGAUGGACGCACCGCUGGUGUACCAGUUGUUCUGCCAAGGGCAUCGCUGGGUAGCUAUGUGCGGACGGGAUAAGUGCUGAAAGCAUCUAAGCAUGAAGCCCCCCUCAAGAUGAGAUUUCCCAUUCCGCAAGGAAGUAAGAUCCCUGAAAGAUGAUCAGGUUGAUAGGUCUGAGGUGGAAGUGUGGCGACACAUGGAGCUGACAGAUACUAAUCGAUCGAGGACUUAACCAA